CAGUCGCCGCGGUAAUACGAAGGGUGCAAGCGUUACUCGGAAUUACUGGGCGUAAAGCGUGCGUAGGUGGUUGUUUAAGUCUGUGGUGAAAGCCCUGGGCUCAACCUGGGAAUUGCAGUGGAUACUGGGCAACUAGAGUGUGGUAGAGGGUAGUGGAAUUCCCGGUGUAGCAGUGAAAUGCGUAGAGAUCGGGAGGAACAUCCAUGGCGAAGGCAGCUACCUGGACCAACACUGACACUGAGGCACGAAAGCGUGGGGAGCAAACAGGAUUAGAUACCCCAGUAGUCCCUGUCUCUUAUAC
rnacentral:rRNA from 1 species